rnacentral:tRNA from 1 species
AGUCUUAUAGUCAAUAAUGAUAUAAAAUUGCAAAUUUUAAGGGGUAAAUUAUAUAAUACUAAGGCUU